UUCCUGCAUAGUGGUUAUCAUUUCUGGAGGAAAGAGGUGACAGAAGCCCCUUUAAAUGAAAUAUCAGGAUUCUCAUUAGUGGCAUCUCUAGGGUAUUUCCUAGGCCAUUUCUCUCCCAGGACAGCCUUCGGAGCAGCCCCUGUCAGACAGGACGUAUGGUCUCCAACACACAGUGCUUUUAAGGCCAGAGAAAGCAGGUCUGGUAUUUCUUGUUCGGGUCCCAUGCACAAUGUUUUCUUUGGCUCUGCCGUUCGUCCUUCUAAAGUGGAUCACGGCUGAAGAAUGACAGAGGUCCAGUGACAAACUUUCAACAUUAUUUAAAAAUGGGGGCAGAAAGCAGAGAGGUCAAACCCUAACGCGGGUGAUGAGGGAAGAGGCGAAUGGGGACUGCGUGUGUUUUUUCUCACAUGUGCUCAGGGGCUGAAAACCAGGAAGAAAAAUCGCACCCAAGUUCCUUAGCUCCCUCAGGAGCGUCUAAUGGGGAAAAUUAAUGAGCUGGAACGUCACGCCGGAGACGGGCGAGGGAGACCUGACAGCCCUGGCGGCUGCAGGAUGAUGGGUUGUGGUCACCUUCAAGGGAGGGGUGGGCAUCAGGGGGUGUGCGUGUGCCAUCUGUGCUCCCACUCACAACUGUGCUCACUGCCAGGGGGAUUUCUGCCUGAGCUGCUCUGGCUGCGAUGAGCAGGAAGGGGCGGCUGCCGAAGGCACAUAGCAAACCUGCUGCCGCGUGGGAAACAGGCUGGAGCGCACGGUCUGGGCAUGCAAGGAAUGGCUUGGCCAGGCUCAGCAGCCUUCAUGAGCUUGUGAUUCCACUCCUUUUCCCAGAGUCUGCCCAGGGCUCUGGGGUUUGUCACGAUGUCCCCUUGCUGGCAGCAGCCCUGUGUCCUGGUUGCACAACUCACGCUGCCCCCACCCCUGUGAUCCUCAGCACCGCCGUGUGCUUGAGACAAUGCUGUGGCAAAAGCCUGGUGGGAGGCAGAGUGCUUUGUGCACAUUGUUUUUGCAAGGGAUUCAAGUACUCGGUUGCAUUGUGCCAGGAGAAGCAGUGGAGCUGGGCAAAUCCAUGCUGUCAAGUCCAGCCCUGCUACUCCCACUCUGUUUCCCUCUGUGAAGUGCUCCAGUGCAGACUUCGCAUCCUUGGGGGCUGGAUAUGAUUCUUUCACCCAAGAUUAAAGCAGUAAUGGUUUGAUGGAAGCACAGCCAGCAAAGUGAACUACCAACGCUGGGCUGUCCCUCCAAUGCUGGCAAGUAGUAGUCAAAAAUGUUUUCUCAGUGCUUUCUCUGAUUACAUUUAUUCAGAACCCAAAGACAAAGCGUGUCCAAGGGGCUGGGAGGAGGCCUCUGAGGAUCCCUGAGCUGAGAUUUGCACCUUCUCUCCCUCCUGAUGGAAGGAUGGGAGCAAUAAUACGGAGGUGGUGUGCCUCAGUUGUCCCUGAACAGGACGCAGUUGGCACAGCUCAGCUUUCUCCAUUGCCUUUCUUCUGGCAAAGUCAGAGCCCUGCUCCUGCCAGUGUGUGAUGUCUGCCUGCCCUGCAGGGAGGAGAGGGGCACAAAGCCCCCAGGGGCACCCACUCAUGCUGUGCUUCUGGGUAUGAGCAUUGUCCCUGGGCAACCCCAAUAUCGAGCUCCCAUCACAGCCGCGAUGGCACGGACACGAGUGAGGAAAGCAACCUAAGAGGCACCGGAGCGUGGCUGCACGCACAAAUGCUUCCACAGACACAUUUCUAGGUAAUAAUCCCCCCCCUGCUGCUUUCUUGCCUUGAUCAAAGCCCAGACAUGAGGGAAGUCCAUCUGUGAAAGAUUGAGCCGUGCGUUUUUUUGCGAAGGUAUAUGGGCUGGCAGCGAAAUUUCUCUGACAAGUCCAACAGGGAAAAAUGGAGAAAUGAAAGCCUUUAAGAUGUGUGCAUUUCCCAGAUGACUGGUGAUGUGUGUGGGUAACAUAUGGGCAGUCCGUGCCCGCUGUCCCACAAAACAUGCUGAUUUCACACUCAGAUUUCUCAGAUUCCCUGACAGCUCUGCAGACCGCCCCCGGCACUGGGUUCUGCAUG